GGAGGGGUCGCCUAAUCCGGCUAGGGCAGCGGCCUCGAAAGUCGCCGGGGCUUCACGGUCCCAUGUGGGUUCAAAUCCCACCCCCUCCGCCA
rnacentral:tRNA from 1 species